UAGACCCUGCUGUGUGCGUUUAAGCUGUCCUUGUUUUUGCCAACGCUGAAAACAAGGGAGUCUGACUUCCGGAGUUGAUGUAUACCUCAUGAUACGAGGGAACAGGAAGGCUACGGAGAGGACACCCACCUGCUAUGCAGGUUUAAACUGACGGUUUAGACGGCUCCGCGGGGCCUUU
rnacentral:other from 1 species